UUGCGAAUUGACGACAUCCUGCGGUUCUUUUGAUCAGAGUUUUCACAAUCGACUAGAUUUUCCAUCGUGAAAAAAUGGCUGAGGAUGAGAAGAAGCUUGUCGGUUUAGCGAAACACUUUAACAGCCAGACCAAGUAUGGUCGAGCGAAUGUGACGAAGGCGACGUAUGCUGGUAUAGCACUGAUUUGUUUGUACUUUUAUUUAAAACCGAGCAAAAAGAAGUAGCUCGUGAAUGAGACCGUAGUUACAUUAUGUAAUACAUUAUGUGAUACAUUGUGUCGUAUAUCUCCUUCAAAUUCUUCAAAUAAAUAGUUAAAUGAUCUUUUAUAGAUCUUUUUUGUUUUUUGCUUAGUGCUUGUUUCUGUGAAUGAUGCGGUAUGUUGCUAUAGGUAACCAUUAAUUACCAAUACAGCGUAUAUAUUACAAUUUAUCAUGUUUAUUGAAAAAAGCAGUUCCAUCUGUUAUUUAAUAAUUCUUUAAUACUAAAAUAUAAAAUAGGAAAGAGAAGAAAAGUAUAAUCUUGAAACUAUUGACAUGAUUGUGUAUUAAUGAUUGAAUAAUAUAUUCAAUAGUAAUGAAUUGAAGUUCCAUCAAUAUAUGCCAUUAUAUGUCUUGUGCUUGUUCAAUCAAUAUUUUUAAAAUCGUGUAUAAUUUAAUUUGCGUUGUCUUAUCAUCAUCCCUUAUUUAAUAUUUUAAGAGAGUACAGGUAUAGAAAUAUUUUAGAAUAUAUAUUUUAGCUGCAGAAACUUCCUAUAUUUCUUCAUAUUAAAAUUAUAAUCCUUUAUAUGAAAUAAUAUAUUUGUUUGUUACCAUGGCCUGAGUAUUUGUAAUUCAUGUUUUGAUUUAUUGAAUUUAUUUUAUGUACAAUAAAAUUUAUUUAAAGUACAUUUGAGUCGUAGAGAAAAAAUAAAAUUUACAUAGAUGAUAAAACUAAUAUCUAGCUGCAUUAAAUUAAAGAUAUUACUAAUGAUAACAUAUGGAUACAAUUUGUACGAUAUGCUUUAGCAGUGAUGGAAAAAUGCUUGCUGGAAUAAAGCCCUAAUUCAAUAAUAAUAUAAUUUUAUUCAAUGAAAUAAUUUGAAAUUCAUAAAUAAUUUAUUUUAAUUUAUGUACACAGAAGGAAAUAAUUCCUUAAAAUUUUUAUUUAUUAGAUAUUAAAUAUAUAAAAGA